AGCGAACGCUGGCGGCAGGCCUAACACAUGCAAGUCGAACGCACCUUCGGGUGAGUGGCGGACGGGUGAGUAACACGUGGGAACGUACCUUUUGGUUCGGAACAACACAGGGAAACUUGUGCUAAUACCGGAUAAGCCCUUACGGGGAAAGAUUUAUCGCCGAAAGAUCGGCCCGCGUCUGAUUAGCUAGUUGGUGAGGUAAUGGCUCACCAAGGCGACGAUCAGUAGCUGGUCUGAGAGGAUGAUCAGCCACAUUGGGACUGAGACACGGCCCAAACUCCUACGGGAGGCAGCAGUGGGGAAUAUUGGGCAAUGGGCGGCAAGCCUGAUCCAGCCAUGCCGCGUG
rnacentral:rRNA from 1 species